GACUCAGUCUCGGAGGAAGUUUGCAAGGCAAAGUUGCUGGCUGAAUCCCCAGAAAUACGAGUACGCUUGUCUAGCAGAAUAUAAGAUAAGGAUAAAGUCCAAAUUAGCAGACAACCUGGAGCUGCAGACGUGUAUGAUGCACGUACUAUCCAGACCCUGAGAAGCCAAAAAGACAUCAAUCAAGCUAUGCUGUUGCACUGCGAGCCAAUCACAAUCCAGCACGACCUCCAGACCCCUCCUCUAAGAUUUACCCUAUAAAUGCUCCUGAUUCUAAGCCUUGGGAAGUUCUGGUGCAGCAUUAGCUGGCUUCAUCUCCUUGGCUGGCCCUCUCCAAUAAAUGCUAAUCUUUCCUAUGCA